rnacentral:rRNA from 1 species
UACGAAGGGGGCUAGCGUUGUUCGGAAUUACUGGGCGUAAAGCGCGCGUAGGCGGUUUUGCAAGCCAGAGGUGAAAUGCCUGAGCUCAACUUAGGAAUUGCCUUUGGGACUGCGAGGCUUUGAGGACUGGAGAGGUGAGUGGAAUUCCCAGUGUAGAGGUGAAAUUCGUAGAUAUUGGGAAGAACACCGGUGGCGAAGGCGGCAUCCUGGACCAUUACUGACGCUGAGGCGCGAAAGCUAGGGGAGCAAACGGG